CCUACGGGUGGCAGCAGUGAGGAAUAUUGGUCAAUGGGCGGAAGCCUGAACCAGCCAAGUAGCGUGCAGGAUGACGGCCCUACGGGUUGUAAACUGCUUUUGUACGGGAAUAACGCGCCUUACGUGUAGGGCUUUGCAUGUACCGUAUGAAUAAGGCACGGCUAAUUCCGGGCCAGCAGCCGCGGUAAUACGGAAGGUGCGGGCGUUAUCCGGGUUUAUUGGGGGUAAAGGGGGCGUAGGGCGGAUGGUAAGCGUGCUGGGAAAUGGUCGGGCUCAACCCGGGCCUUGCAGUGGCAACUGGCGUUCUUGAGUGCGCGAGAAGCAGGCGGAAUGCGUGGUGUAGCGGUGAAAUGCUUAGAUAUGACGAAGAACCCCGAUUGCGAAGGCAGCUUGCUGCAGCGGAACUGACGCUGAUGCUCGAAAGCGCGGGUAUCGAACAGGAUUAGAUACCCUGGUAGUC
rnacentral:rRNA from 1 species